UACGGGGGGAGCAAGCGUUGUUCGGAUUUACUGGGCGUAAAGGGCGCGUAGGCGGCCAGCACAAGUCAGUUGUGAAAUCUCCGGGCUUAACUCGGAAAGGUCAACUGAUACUGUGCGGCUAGAGUGCGGAAGGGGCAACUGGAAUUCUCGGUGUAGCGGUGAAAUGCGUAGAUAUCGAGAGGAACACCUGCGGCGAAGGCGGGUUGCUGGGCUGACACUGACGCUGAUGUGCGAAAGCUAGGGGAGCGAACGGG
rnacentral:rRNA from 1 species